rnacentral:rRNA from 1 species
CCUACGGGAGGCAGCAGUGAGGAAUAUUGGUCAAUGGACGAGAGUCUGAACCAGCCAAGUAGCGUGAAGGAUGACUGCCCUAUGGGUUGUAAACUUCUUUUAUAAAGGAAUAAAACGAGGCACGUGUGCCUUUUUGCAUGUACUUUAUGAAUAAGGAUCGGCUAACUCCGUGCCAGCAGCCGCGGUAAUACGGUGGAUCCGAGCGUUAUCCGGAUUUAUUGGGUUUAAAGGGAGCGUAGAUGGGUUGUUAAGUCAGUUGUGAAAGUUUGCGGCUCAACCGUAAAAUUGCAAUUGAUACUGGCAGUCUUGAGUACAGUUGAGGUAAGCGGAACUCGUGGUGUAGCGGUGGAAUGCUUAGAUAUCACGAAGAACCCCGAUUGCGAAGGCAGCUUACUAAACUGUGACUGACAUUGAUGCUCGAAAGUGUGGGUAUCAAACAGGAUUAGAUACCCCAGUAGUC